UACGAAGGGGGCUAGCGUUGCUCGGAAUCACUGGGCGUAAAGGGUGCGUAGGCGGGUCUUUAAGUCAGGGGUGAAAUCCUGGAGCUCAACUCCAGAACUGCCUUUGAUACUGAAGAUCUUGAGUUCGGGAGAGGUGAGUGGAACUGCGAGUGUAGAGGUGAAAUGCGUAGAUAUCUGGAGGAACACCGGUGGCGAAGGCGGCAUCCUGGACCGAUAUUGACGCUGAUGCGCGAAAGCCAGGGGAGCAAACAGG
rnacentral:rRNA from 1 species